rnacentral:rRNA from 1 species
UACGCACGCUGGCGGCGUGCUUAACACAUGCAAGUCGAACGGAAAGGCCCUGCUUUUGUGGGGUGCUCGAGUGGCGAACGGGUGAGUAACACGUGAGUAACCUGCCCUUGACUUUGGGAUAACUUCAGGAAACUGGGGCUAAUACCGGAUAGGAGCUCCUGCUGCAUGGUGGGGGUUGGAAAGUUUCGGCGGUUGGGGAUGGACUCGCGGCUUAUCAGCUUGUUGGUGGGGUAGUGGCUUACCAAGGCUUUGACGGGUAGCCGGCCUGAGAGGGUGACCGGCCACAUUGGGACUGAGAUACGGCCCAGCCUCCUACGGGAGGCAGCAGUGGGGAAUAUUGCACAAUGGGCGGAAGCCUGAUGCAGCAACGCCGCGUGCGGUAUGACGGCCUUCGGUUUGUAAACCGCUUUCGCCUGUGACGAAGCGUGAGUGACGGUAAUGGGUAAAGAAGCACCGGCUAACUACGUG